rnacentral:rRNA from 1 species
UACGACUACAUAUCAGGCAUAUCAAUAAGCGGAGGAAAAGAAACUAACAAGGAUUCCCCUAGGUAACGGCGAGUGAAGCGGGAAGAGCUCAAAUUUGAAAUCUUAAAGGGUUUCCCUUGACGAAUUGUAGUUUAAAGAAGUGUUUUCUGUUAGAGGAGUUCGGUAAAAGUUCUUGGAAUAGGACAUCAUAGAGGGUGAGAAUCCCGUAUUUGGUUAUUCUUUCUAGCUUUGUGAUACACUUUCAAAGAGUCGGAUUGUUUGGGAAUGCAGUCCAAAAUGGGUGGUAAAUUUCAUCUAAAGCUAAAUAUUGGCGAGAGACCGAUAGCGAACAAGUACCGUGAGGGAAAGAUGAAAAGAACUUUGAAAAGAGAGUUAAACAGUACGUGAAAUUGUCAAAAGGGAAGCGUUUGACACCAGUGUUGUUUUUCCGAAAAUCAAUUAAGAAGUGGCCUGAUUUUGUGUUGUAUUGACCUUAUCAGCUUUCUUCACUCUUUUUCGAGUCUUUCUUAAUGCACUUUUCGGUUAACAAGUCAACAUCAAUUUCUUUUGUUGUAAAAGGGUAUUUGGAAGGUGGCUUUCUUUUCGGAGAAAGUGUUUAUAGCCUUAUACCUCUACAAUCGGAGAGAUUGAGGUCUGCAGCGUAGAUCCUUCGGGGCUAGAUACACUUGUGCUAAGUUAUAGCUUUUCAUAGACAACUUGUUGACUAUGUUUAGUCAUGUAGCUUACCCGCUUGUGCUAUUUUACCUACGCUUAGGAUGUUGAUCUACAGAGCGAGAGU